AUUGAACGCUGGCGGCAGGCCUAACACAUGCAAGUCGAGCGGAUGAAGGGAGCUUGCUCCUGGAUUCAGCGGCGGACGGGUGAGUAAUGCCUAGGAAUCUGCCUGGUAGUGGGGGAUAACGUCCGGAAACGGGCGCUAAUACCGCAUACGUCCUGAGGGAGAAAGUGGGGGAUCUUCGGACCUCACGCUAUCAGAUGAGCCUAGGUCGGAUUAGCUAGUUGGUGGGGUAAAGGCCUACCAAGGCGACGAUCCGUAACUGGUCUGAGAGGAUGAUAAGUCACACUGGAACUGAGACACGGUCCAGACUCCUACGGGAGGCAGCAGUGGGGAAUAUUGGACAAAGGGCGAAAGCCUGAUCCAGCCAUGCCGCGUGCGUGAAGAAGGUCUUCGGAUUGUAAAGCACUUUAAGUUGGGAGGAAGGGCAGUAAGUUAAUACCUUGCUGUUUUGACGUUACCAACAGAAUAAGCACCGGCUAACUUCGUG
rnacentral:rRNA from 1 species